CAAUGAUGGAGAAAAGAACCACCCCCCCUUUUUUUUAACCUCCUGCAAAGCUGUCUGGCUAAUCCCUAGAAUUCUACCAGGAAGGAAGGUUCCUGUAGCUGCUGAUGGAGCACAGCAGGGGACAGCCAGGGGACAACCACCCGGCAGAGCUGCCCAGGUGCACUUGAAACAGGGCACCGAGCCCGUCUGCAGGGGUGCUGCCGGUGAGUGUCCUGCAUUCAUUGUGAGGCCAGGCUGUGAAGACAAAUUGACCAUCGUGACCUUCUGCCUUCUGCCAGGAAGGCGGCACCAGCCUCCGAGCUCCGGGUCUUAUAUCUGACCUCAACGCAGAGAAGCAGAGAGAAAACCCCACCUGGAAGAUGUCUUCCCUAUUCGAGAAGGAAGAGACCCAGUGAAGACAAGGACACGGUGCGGACACUGUUCUGGGCAAAAGGAACCAUAAGGUGAGCGCACAGAGGACAGAAAGAGCUCAAGCCCAGCUGGGUUUGCCACAAGCUGGCUUACGGCAAAGGGAGCCGUGUCACCUUCCAGAAAGCCUGGGAAGCUUAGCAAGCUGCAGGCAGACAGACAUCAGGCAGGAGCUGAAAUGAAGUCCCCAGGGCUGAUUCUCUUCUCCUUCCAGUAGGUUCUCUAUUACCAGCAUGCUCGCCUUCAGGGUCGCCAAGAAAUAAGCCUAGCGAGUCUCCAAUUCCCAGAGUUCCAGGCCGAUGGAAGCCGCUGGAAACCCUCCCUCCCUUCCUUCCCUCAAGGGCCACUCCCAGGGGACAGGCAGCAGACCACCUCCAGCUGAACCCAUUACUGUGUUCGCCGUCUUGGGUCUGGAUCAUAAGCUGGAUCUCCAAAGCCGUGGAUGGAGCCCCGUCCAGGCCAGAGAGAGCCAGCCCGUGGGAGGGGUGGGUUCCCCGUGUCAUAAUGGAGGGCGGUUGCUGGGGAAAGAAGUCUAGACGCUUCCAGAAAUGAGAGGAGGUCGUUGUAAGUGAAGCGACGUGAGCAAAUGGUCCAGUGAGCCUGGAGAGGUCCGUCGGAGACCCGGGAGGACCACGAUUACAGCCAAGGAGUGAAUAUUCUCUGCUGGAGAUUUAACCAAUCAGUAGCCUUGGGUCGGUAUUUACAAUGCUCUCCUCUACCAGAGGCGCCAUCUACGUAACGAAAAGGAACACAGGACUCACUCGCCCACCUUUGGUAACAGCUGGGGUUUUGCACACGCAUGAGGUGGCCAUCACGUGCAGUGGCACGGCCAGAUCCAAGUCUCCUGGCUCCGUGUCUAAAACGCGCUGCGGAUCAGGGCUGUGAUUUUCAGUGAAAUCUGGACACUCUGACGGGCGUUGUGUUUGGGCGGCUCUCUUGAAGGGAUUCCGCUACGUGCAGAACUAUGACACCUUUGCUUCGGUCCCUUCAGAACCAUGCUGUUGCUUGAGGAGACCUGUGCAUUCCCUUGGAUGCCCUCUUUUGAACACUGGAGUCCAAAUUCUUCGUGUUUGCGAAUAAGCAGCAUUCUUGGGUGCUGCCCUGAUGGCACAGGCCAGGCCUCGCCUGCUCCGCCCCAGGUGGAGGGCUCGCUGGGCUCACCGUCCAGUCACGCUGGUGCCUCUAAGCCCGUGUGUCUGCAGUUCUUUCAAAAAUAAACGCUGCCUACAGACGGAAUCUGACAGCCGUGCCGUGAGGGCUUUGGGAAGUAGGCGUGAUUUGUGAAAUCCCACCUGAGAACCUCGAACAUCAAAGGAGGGAUGGCUGGCCAAGUGUGUGGGGUUUUCGUGAACCAGCUCCGGGUUCAGAGGCAGAGCGACCUGGGGUGACUUUUCCAACACCCCUGAGCCCGGGCGCUGAAAGCAUCUACCCCAUGAGGUUGUGUGAUGAAUAAACGAGGCAAGGCACAUGCGACGUCAGCAGAAUGUCAGGCGACUCAUAGUGGUGAAAAAGCGAUUGCGCCGAUGUAGUUGUACUUUGUUGUCCACUUCUGGCUACUGGCAAAGGCCGUAGCGGUCCCCGCUCAUGUUCAGGAUCAUCUGAAUACGCUUCGCGGUGGAAACAAACAGUUAAUACUUGCCCACGUCCAACAGAUUUCCUACCGCAUUGGAACUGGGGGAGGGGGGACCCACUAAGGUCCGAAAUUCAAACAGCUUUUUCCCUAGUGUACAAUUUGGUUUCUAUCUAUAUUAGAAGCAAAGGUGUCAUAGUUUUCUUAGCCACUAUUUGGGGAAACUUCAGGGGAAAACAUCACG